rfam:Clostridium caminithermale DSM 15212 genome assembly, contig: EJ27DRAFT_scaffold00010.10
AUUCAUUUGUAGCCGCACAAAUCGGGUUUUAAAGAGAGUCUAUCUACCUAGAUUUGGCGAGACUGGACUGAGGA